rnacentral:rRNA from 1 species
UCGAGAAUCUUCCGCAAUGGGCGAAAGCCUGACGGAGCGACGCCGCGUGGAGGACGAAGGCCUUCGGGUUGUAAACUCCUGUCACGGAUUAAGAAUGUCGUGCGGUGAAUAGUCGUACGAUUGACGUAAGUCCGAGAGGAAGCACUGGCUAACUCUGUGCCAGCAGCCGCGGUAAUACAGAGAGUGCAAACGUUGUUCGGAAUUACUGGGCUUAAAGCGCACGUAGGCGGCGCCGCAAGUGUGGGGUGAAAGCCCACGGCUUACCCGUGGAAUUGCCUGGCAGACUGCGGUGCUAGAGUGUGGUAGGGGAGAGCGGAACUCCUGGUGGAGCGGUGAAAUGCGUAGAUAUCAGGAGGAACACCGGUGGCGAAGGCGGCUCUCUGGUCCACAACUGACGCUGAGGUGCGAAAGCUAGGGGAGCAAACGGGAUUAGAUACCCUCGUAGUCCCUGAGCGGGCUGGCAAGGCGCAU